GCCCGAACGCGAAGAACCUUACCUACUCUUGACAUCCACAGAAUUCGCUAGAGAUAGCUUAGUGCCUUCGGGAACUGUGAGACAGGUGCUGCAUGGCUGUCGUCAGCUCGUGUUGUGAAAUGUUGGGUUAAGUCCCGCAACGAGCGCAACCCUUAUCCUUUGUUGCCAGCACGUAAUGGUGGGAACUCAAAGGAGACUGCCGGUGAUAAACCGGAGGAAGGUGGGGAUGACGUCAAGUCAUCAUGGCCCUUACGAGUAGGGCUACACACGUGCUACAAUGGUGUAUACAAAGAGAAGCCAACUCGCGAGAGCCAGCGGACCUCAUAAAGUACGUCGUAGUCCGGAUCGGAGUCUGCAACUCGACUCCGUGAAGUCGGAAUCGCUAGUAAUCGUAGAUCAGAAGUAUCGAC
rnacentral:rRNA from 1 species